GAUGAACGCUAGCGGCGUGCCUAACACAUGCAAGUCGAACGUGAAGCGCACUUCGGUGGGUGGAAAGUGGCGGACGGGUGAGCAAGACGUAGGUGACCUGCCUCUGAGUGGGGGAUAACCAUUGGAAACGAUGGCUAAUACCGCAUGAGCUGACGAUGCUGGGAAGUGUGGUCAGCAAAGCUUUGGCGCUGGGAGAGGGGCCUACGGCCGAUUAGCUAGUUGGUGAGGUAAAGGCUCACCAAGGCGAUGAUCGGUAGCUGGUCUGAGAGGACGAUCAGCCACACGGGAACUGAGACACGGUCCCGACUCCUACGGGGGGCAGCAGUGAGGAAUAUUCGGCAAUGGGGGGAACCCUGACCGAGCAACGCCGCGUGGAGGAAGACGGUCUUUGGAUUGUAAACUCCUUUUCUCAGGGAAGAGCGAGGACGGUACCUGAGGAAUCAGUCACGGCUAACUACGUGCCAGCAGCCGCGGUAAUACGUAGGUGGCAAGCGUUAUCCGGAAUUACUGGGCGUAAAGCGCACGCAGGUGGUUGUCUAAGACGGACGUGAAAGCUCCUGGCUUAACUGGGAGAGGUCGUUGGUGACUGGAUAACUUGAGGCGAGGAGAGGGGUGUAGAAUUCCCGGUGUAGUGGUGGAAUGCGUAGAGAUCGGGAGGAAUACCAGUGGCGAAAGCGGCACCCUGGCCUAGGCCUGACGCUCAGGUGCGAAAGCGUGGGGAGCGAACGGGAUUAGAUACCCCGGUAGUCCACGCUGUAAACGAUGAACACUAGGUGUCGGCGCUCUCAAAAGCGGCGGUACCGAAGCCAACGCGAUAAGUGUUCCGCCUGGGGAGUACGACCGCAAGGUUAAAACUCAAAGGAAUUGACGGGGGCUCACACAAGCGGUGGAGCAUGUUGCUUAAUUCGAAGCAACGCGAAGAACCUUACCUGGGCUUGACAUGUACGGAUUAACUCUAUGAAAGUAGAGCCACGCCUUCGGGUGGAACGUACACAGGUGCUGCAUGGCUGUCGUCAGCUCGUGCUGUGAAGUGUCGGGUUAAGUCCCUUAACGAGCGCAACCCCUGUCGCUAGUUGCCAACGCGUAAUGGCGGGGACUCUAGCGAGACUGCCGGUGUCAAACCGGAGGAAGGUGGGGAUGACGUCAAGUCCUCAUGGCCCUUACGUCCAGGGAUGCAAACGUGCUACAAUGCCGUAUACAAAGCGAAGCAAGACCGCGAGGUGGAGCAAAUCGCAUAAAGUACGGCCCAGUUCGGAUUGGAGUCUGCAACCCGACUCCAUGAAGCCGGAAUCGCUAGUAAUCGCGGAUCAGCUAUGCCGCGGUGAAUACGUUCCUGAGCC
rnacentral:rRNA from 1 species